rnacentral:rRNA from 1 species
GAUGAACGCUAGCGAUAUGCUUAACACAUGCAAGUCGAGGGGCAGCAUGGUCUUAGCUUGCUAAGGCUGAUGGCGACCGGCGCACGGGUGCGUAACGCGUAUCCAACUUGCCUCACAGAGGUGGAUAACCCGUCGCAAGACUGACUCAUACCGCGUACACUCUAUGUUUGGCAUCCAAUGUAGAGGAAAUGAAAUUCGCUGUUAGAUAGGCAUGCGUCCCAUUGGCUAGUUGGUGAGGUAACGGCUCACCAAGGCGACGCUGGGUAGGGGAACUGAGAGGUUGAACCACCACACUGGUACUGAGACACAGACCAGAAUGCGACGGGAGGGAGCAGUGAGGAAUAUUAGGCAAGGGGGGAGAGCCUGAACAAGCCGAGUCGCGUGAAGGAGGACUGUGUUAUGGAUAGUAAACUUCUUUUAAACGAGAAUAACAAGAGUAACGGGUGACUCCCUGAAUGUACCGUAUGAAUAAGCAUCGGCUAACUCCGUG